UCCGUUAUUAGCGGUGUCCUUGUGUCGCUCUUACAAUUUUUCUAAUUUUUUGAUAGAAAAAGUGGUUUUUCUGUGCACCAUUUGAGUUCAUUUUGUUCCUUAAGGCCUGUUUAAUCCGCUAUUUUUGCAUUGCUCAAAUCGAUUUUCUACAACAAAUCAAUUCCAAGGCACUUUCCAUCGAACCAAGCAAAUACGAGUUUUAUUUUAUCUAACAAAUUUGCUACAAAUUAUUUUUCUUUGUGUUUUGUCUGUUAAUCAGUUAAUGUCUAUACAUAUAACUAUUGAUAAAAACUUCUUACGA